rnacentral:rRNA from 1 species
GACGAACGCUGGCGGCGUGCUUAACACAUGCCAGUCGAACGGAAGGGCCCUGCUUGCCGGGUGCUCGAGUGGCGAACGGGUGAGUAACACGUGGGUGAUCUGCCCCUUACUUUGGGAUAAGCCUGGGAAACUGGGUCUAAUACUGGAUAGGACCAUGCUGUAGGUGGUGUGGUGGAAAGAUUAGUUUCGGUAAGGGAUGAGCUCGCGGCCUAUCAGCUUGUUGGUGGGGUAAUGGCCUACCAAGGCGUCGACGGGUAGCCGGCCUGAGAGGGUGGACGGCCACAUUGGGACUGAGAUACGGCACAGACUCCUACGGGAGGCAGCAGUGGGGAAUAUUGCACAAUGGGCGCAAGCCUGAUGCGGCGACGCCGCGUGGGGGAUGACGGCCUUCGGGUUGUAAACUCCUUUCAGCCAUGACGAAGCCCUUGUGGUGACGGUAGUGGUAGAAGAAGCACCGGCUAACUACGUG